CAGUAGCCGCGGUAAUACGUAGGGUGCGAGCGUUAAUCGGAAUUACUGGGCGUAAAGCGUGCGCAGGCGGUUAUAUAAGACAGAUGUGAAAUCCCCGGGCUCAACCUGGGGCCUGCAUUUGUGACUGUAUAGCUAGAGUACGGUAGAGGGGGAUGGAAUUCCGCGUGUAGCAGUGAAAUGCGUAGAUAUGCGGAGGAACACCGAUGGCGAAGGCAAUCCCCUGGACCUGUACUGACGCUCAUGCACGAAAGCGUGGGGAGCAAACAGGAUUAGAUACCCCCGUAGUCCCUGUCUCUUAUAC
rnacentral:rRNA from 1 species